AACGCACAUUGCGCCCGCCAGUAUUCUGGCGGGCAUGCCUGUCCGAGCGUCAUUUCAACCCUCGAGCCCCUCCGGGGGGUCGGCGUUGGGGAUCGGCCCUCCCUCGCGGGGGCCGUCUCCGAAAUACAGUGGCGGUCUCGCCGCGGCCUCCCCUGCGCAGUAGUUUGCACACUCGCACCGGGAGCGCGGCGCGUCCACAGCCGUUAAACACCCAACUUUUCGAAAUGUUGACCUCGGAUCAGGUAGGAAUACCCGCUGAACUUAA
rnacentral:misc_RNA from 1 species